AUGGCGUCCUUGGAUCAUAGCAUUUUCGUCCGUGUGGCAGUCACUCUAUGGGCCAUCUGGGCAGCACGGCGAAAAUAUAUACAUGAGGGGAUUACUCAGAGUCCGCAGGGCACUUCUCUAUUUGUCAGCAGAUUUUUGAAAGAGCUAGAGUACGAUGGAGACGUAUCAGUUGCCCCUCGGGCAAAUGUGACAGCACAUGCAAGACCCAAAGCGCCACCGGUGGGAUACGUCAAGAUCCAUGUAGAUGGCGCUGUUCUACGCAACCGGCGAGGUGUCACGGUGGCUGUCUGCCGUGAUCAGGCGGGUAACUAUAUGAGAAGUUCGGCACUUAUCGUUCUAGGGAUAACGGAUCCGCCCACGUUGGAAGCAAUAGCGUGUUGUGAAGGCCUUGCUCUGGCGGAGGAUCUUCUCGUCAUGAAUUUAAUCAUCGCUUCAGAUUGCAAGCGGGUUGUUGACGACAUCAAUCUUGGCAACCAGGGCACUUAUGGUUCUGUGAUCACAGAAAUUAAACUUUGUUCUUCGGAUUUCACUUGUAAUUUUGUGUUUGAAAGCCGCUCUUUGAAAGGCGAAGCCCAUAGUUUAGCUAAGCAUGCACUUUCUGUCGGUGCGGGGCGCCACACUUGUUGGUUAACCCCUACAAUCCGAUUUGUAUCCCACUCCAUGUGGAUUAUCAUCAAUAAAGCUUAG
rnacentral:rRNA from 1 species